GCCAACGUCCAUACCACGUUGAACACACCGGUUCUCGUCCGAUCACCGAAGUUAAGCAACGUCGGGCGCGGUCAGUACUUGGAUGGGUGACCGCCUGGGAACACCACGUGCCGUUGGCU
rnacentral:rRNA from 1 species